GUGCUCGCUUCAGCAGCACAUAUACUAAAAUUGGAAUGAUACAGAGAAGAUUAGCGUGGCCCCUGCGCGAGGAUGACAUGCAAAUUCGUGAAGUGUUCCGUAUUUUU
rnacentral:snRNA from 1 species